AGCAGCCGCGGUAAUUCCAGCUCCAAUAGCGUAUAUUAAAGUUGUUGCAGUUAAAAAGCUCGUAGUUGAAUUUCGGGAUCAAAUUGUCGGUCGUGCCUCGGUACGCACUGGUAUUAUUGAUUCCUACCUUCUGACGAACCAUGAUGUCAUUAAUUUGGUGUCAUGGGGAAUCAGGACUGUUACUUUGAAAAAUUAGAGUGUUUAAAGCAGGCUCACGCUUGAAUACAUUAGCAUGGAAUAACGAAAUAGGACGUUUGAUUCUAUUUUGUUGGUUUCUAGGAUCGACGUAAUGAUUAAUAGGGAUAGUUGGGGGCAUUAGUAUUCAAUUGUCAGAGGUGAAAUUCUUGGAUUUAUUGAAGACUAACUACUGCGAAAGCAUUUGCCAAGGAUGUUUUCAUUAAUCAAGAACGAAAGUUAGGGGAUCGAAGACGAUCAGAUACCGUCGUAGUC
rnacentral:rRNA from 1 species